UACGGAGGGUGCAAGCGUUAUCCGGAUUACUGGGUUUAAAGGGUGCGUAGGUGGGUUGGUAAGUCAGUGGUGAAAUCCCCGAGCUUAACUUGGGAACUGCCAUUGAUACUAUUAAUCUUGAAUACCGUGGAGGUUAGCGGAAUAUGUCAUGUAGCGGUGAAAUGCUUAGAUAUGACAUAGAACACCAGUGGCGAAGGCGAGUCCCUGGACAACACCUGACACUGAGGCACGAAAGCUAGGGGAGCAAACAGG
rnacentral:rRNA from 1 species